AUCAACUUUGGGACUAUAGAGGAGGUGAAAUAGAUGCCAGCCAAGGACAGGUUGGAGAGGAAGAAGUACAUGGGGGUGUGGAGGUGGGAGGCAGAGAUGACAGCCAGGAUGUUGAGCAGGUUCCUGAGCACUGUGACCAGGUAGAUGGACAGGAUCAGUCCAAAGAGGACUGGGUGCAGGUCUGGAUCAUCUGAGAAGGUCAUGAGAUAGAACUCUGAGACACAUUUCAGAACACUGGAAUCAAAGAAACUCCCAAGGCCCUGGCUGAGCCCCAGUCUUCCUAAUUCUAACCAACAGAUUUUCACAUCAAUUUCUACUGAAAUUUGAGACAGUGCCCUGGUUUGAAAUGCAGCAAAUCAACACUGAAGUCUCUAUGACUGACUGGCUACCAUGUACAGGGUGUGUGUACAUCCCGCCCCUCUUGGUGCUCUUGCUGCUUAAGAGACAGUGGGAAAAUUUCAUCUAUCUCCAAAGCCUG